rnacentral:rRNA from 1 species
UACGUAGGUGGCAAGCGUUAUCCGGAUUUAUUGGGCGUAAAGAGAACGCAGGCGGUCUUUUAAGUCUGAUGUGAAAGCCUUCGGCUUAACCGGAGUAGUGCAUUGGAAACUGGGAGACUUGAGUGCAGAAGAGGAGAGUGAAACUCCAUAUGUAGCGGUGAAAUGCGUAGAUAUAUGGAGGAACACCGGUGGCGAAAGCGGCUCUCUGGCCUGUAACUGACACUGAGGCUCGAAAGCGUGGGGAGCAAACAGG